rnacentral:rRNA from 1 species
UACGUAGGCAGCGAGCGUUGUUCGGAGUUACUGGGCGUAAAGAGUGCGUAGGCGGUCUUCUAAGUUUGGUGUGAAAUCUCCCGGCUCAACUGGGAGGGUGCGCCGAAGACUGGAAGGCUUGAGUAUGGGAGAGGUAAGCGGAAUUCCUGGUGUAGCGGUGAAAUGCGUAGAUAUCAGGAGGAACACCUGCGGUGUAGACGGCUUACUGGACCAUAACUGACGCUGAGGCACGAAAGCGUGGGUAGCAAACAGG